rnacentral:tRNA from 1 species
GGAGGAGUGCGAGAGCGGUUAAUCGAACAGGUUGCUAACCUGUGACGGCCAAAAGCCGUCCGUGGGUUCGAAUCCCACCUCCUCCG